GACGGAGGGGGCUAGCGUUGUUCGGAAUUACUGGGCGUAAAGGGUGCGUAGGCGGUUCGUUAAGUCUGUCGUGAAAUCCCCGGGCUCAACCUGGGAAUGGCGAUGGAUACUGGCGAGCUAGAGUGUGUCAGAGGAUGGUGGAAUUCCCGGUGUAGCGGUGAAAUGCGUAGAGAUCGGGAGGAACAUCAGUGGCGAAGGCGGCCAUCUGGGACAACACUGACGCUGAAGCACGAAAGCGUGGGGAGCAAACAGG
rnacentral:rRNA from 1 species